UACGUAGGUGGCAAGCGUUGUCCGGAAUUACUGGGUGUAAAGGGAGCGCAGGCGGGAAGCCAAGUCAGCUGUGAAAACUACGGGCUUAACUUGUAGACUGCAGUUGAAACUGGUUUUCUUGAGUGAAGUAGAGGUUGGCGGAAUUCCGAGUGUAGCGGUGAAAUGCGUAGAUAUUCGGAGGAACACCGGUGGCGAAGGCGGCCAACUGGGCUUUAACUGACGCUGAGGCACGAAAGUGUGGGGAGCAAACAGG
rnacentral:rRNA from 1 species